rnacentral:rRNA from 1 species
UGUUUCGGCAAGGGGGUCAUCCCGACUUACCAACCCGAUGCAAACUGCGAAUACCGGAGAAUGUUAUCACGGGAGACACACGGCGGGUGCUAACGUCCGUCGUGAAGAGGGAAACAACCCAGACCGCCAGCUAAGGUCCCAAAGUCAUGGUUAAGUGGGAAACGAUGUGGGAAGGCCCAGACAGCCAGGAUGUUGGCUUAGAAGCAGCCAUCAUUUAAAGAAAGCGUAAUAGCUCACUGGUCGAGUCGGCCUGCGCGGAAGAUGUAACGGGGCUAAACCAUGCACCGAAGCUGCGGCAGCGACGCUUAUGCGUUGUUGGGUAGGGGAGCGUUCUGUAAGCCUGCGAAGGUG